GGUUGUGGCUCAGUGGUAGAGUGCUUGCCUAGCAUGUGUGAGGCACUAGGUUUGAUCCUCAGCACCA
rnacentral:tRNA from 1 species